GAAUUGAAGAGUUUGAUCAUGGCUCAGAUUGAACGCUGGCGGCAGGCUUAACACAUGCAAGUCGAACGGUAACAGGGAGGAGCUUGCUUCUUUGCUGACGAGUGGCGGACGGGUGAGUAAUGCUUGGGAAUCUGGCUUAUGGAGGGGGAUAACUACGGGAAACUGUAGCUAAUACCGCGUAAUAUCUUCGGAUUAAAGGGUGGGACUUUCGGGCC
rnacentral:ncRNA from 1 species